CUGACCUGGGACUCUGGGGAUACUGCCCCUGUGCUGAGUAACUGAGAUCUGCCAGCCCUGCAGUAGUGCCCAGCCUGCCCCAUCCCCUGCUGAUUUGCAUGUUCCAGAGCACAGCCCCCUGCCCUGAAGACUUCUUAAUAGGCUGGUCACACCCUGUGCAGGAGUCAGUCCCAGUCAGAGCACAGCAUGGACAUGAGGGUCCCCACUCAGCUCCUGGGGCUCCUGCUGCUCUGGCUCCCAGGUGCCAGAUGUGACAUCCAGAUGACGCAGUCUCCAUCCUCCCUAUCUGCAUCUGUAGGAGACAGAGUCACCAUCACUUGCCGGGCGAGUCAGGGCAUUAACAAUUAUUUAAGUUGGUAUCAGCAGAAACCAGGGAAAGCCCCUAAGCGCCUGAUCUGUUAUGCAUCCAGUUUGGAAACAGGGGUCCCAUCAAGGUUCAGUGGCAGUGGAUCUGGGACAGAUUAUACUCUCACCAUCAGCAGUCUGCAGUCUGAAGAUAUCGCAACAUAUUACUGUCAACAGUAUGAUAAUUUCCCUCCCACAGUGCUACAAGUCAUAACAUAAAUCACCCAGGGGAGCAGAUGUGUGAGGCUCAGUGGUCCCAGAUGCCCCUUCUGGUGCCUCCACCUGCUGAGAGUGUUUCUCAAAUCGCAGUCACACUUUGAAGGUCACUGGAGAGUUUUUGUAAAAGAACCAUGAAGGCCCACUUACUCGUAGCUGUCUUUCCUUGUCCUAAUCCCCAGUAGCACAGACAGGGCAAUGCUUCUGAUUUCAUUGAGAAGAAAGGAUUACACCUGAGGAGUCUGAGUUGUGGCAUCAGUUGGAAUUCAUACAGCAAAAAUAAGCCACUCUAGGUAUUCCAAGUAGGAUUUUUUUUAACACAAGGUGUGAGAAUGUAAACUAUAGCCUUUUAAAGGCUUACGGGUAUAGUAGUCAAAGAUGUAAAUACUAGAAAAGAGGAAUUAUCUUCCAGAAUCCAGAAUGCAUCUGACAGAGAAGGUACAAUUGCCAAUCGUGUGGUCUUUAGACGUUUCUGAGAAGCCCAUGGGUGGGACUGCAGAUGCUCUCAGCUGCCUGGAGGACUUCACCAGGUGCUUCUGCAGUCCUCACCUCUGUCCAAAUGUCUUGCAGCAGGUGCUGAUGGAUAAUAUUGAAUCUUCCCCUUCUUACUUCUCAAUCUCAGGGCGGGCCCCUCACUGGGCAACUCUACCAAAAACCAGAGAAGGAAAACGGUUUCUGGCAAAUGUGCUUCCAGAAUGAUAGUGAUGACGGGGAAGUGACAGGUGACAUCCUAGUGUGGUCACGUAUCCCGACUCUCAGAAUUUUGUCAGUGAAGUAAUGGCCUCAGAAUACACUUGGAUGUACUUCUAUAUACUAUGAGUAAGUUUCAAAUCAUAGCAAGAAAAUAUUUAGUCAUAUGAUAAAUAGAACUACGUGGCUACAUUAAUCAAA